rnacentral:tRNA from 1 species
GGGACGUUAGCUCAGUUGGUAGAGCAGCGGACUCUUAAUCCGUAGGUCGAAGGUUCGAAUCCUUCACGUCCCACCA